GCAUUGGUGGUUUAGUGGUAAAAUUGCCGCUUGCCAUGCGGCAGCCCCGGGUUCGAUUCCCGGCCAAUGCA